rnacentral:rRNA from 1 species
AUUGAACGCUGGCGGCAUGCCUUACACAUGCAAGUCGAACGGUAACGGGCCUUCGGGUGCCGACGAGUGGCGAACGGGUGAGUAAUACAUCGGAACGUGCCCGAUCGUGGGGGAUAACGAGGCGAAAGCUUUGCUAAUACCGCAUACGAUCUACGGAUGAAAGCAGGGGACCGCAAGGCCUUGCGCGGACGGAGCGGCCGAUGGCAGAUUAGGUAGUUGGUGGGAUAAAAGCUUACCAAGCCGACGAUCUGUAGCUGGUCUGAGAGGAUGAUCAGCCACACUGGGACUGAGACACGGCCCAGACUCCUACUGGAGGCAGCAGUGGGGAAUUUUGGACAAUGGGCGCAAGCCUGAUCCAGCCAUGCCGCGUGCAGGAUGAAGGCCUUCGGGUUGUAAACUGCUUUUGUACGGAACGAAAAGCCUUCUUUUAAUACAGGAGGGUCAUGACGGUACCGUAAGAAUAAGCACCGGCUAACUACGUG